GAUACAUCAUCGUGGGGUAAAACUCUACCUAAAGAACCUCCCGCAUCUACUUGGGGGAUAGCCAAGGCAGCAGAAGAUACCACUCCAGCAUGGGGGACAAAUACUGCCAGAGAAGAUGCCACAUCUGCCUGGGGGAAAACUGGAGAACCUACCACUUCUGCCUGGGGGGCAAGUGAAAAAGAUACACCAUCUUGGGGGAAAACUCCAGCUAAAGAAACUUUGACAUCCACUUGGGGGAUAGAUAAGGCAGCAGAAGAUACCGCUCCUGCAUGGGGGACAAGUACUGCCAGAGAAGAUGCCACACCUGCCUGGGGGAAAUCUAGAGAAAAGACUACUUCCGCCUGGGGAACAGAUAAGGAAAGUGAUAAUGAUACAUCAUCUUGGGGGAAAAAUCCAGCUAGAAAACCUACCACCUCUACUUGGGGCAUAGAUAAGGUAGCAGAAGAUACCACUCCUGCAUGGGGAACAAGUACUGCCACAGAAGAUGCCACACCUGCCUGGGGGAAAUCUAGAGAAAAAACUGCUUCUGCCUGGGGAACAAAUAAGGAAAGUGAAAAUGACACAUCAUCUUGGGGGAAAACUCCAGCCAGAAAACCUACCAACUCUACUUGGGGGACAGAGAAGGCAGCAGAAGAUACCACUCCUACGUCAGGGACAAAUACUGCCAGAGAAGAUGCCACAUCUACCUGGGGGAAAACUAGAGAACAUACCACUUCUACCUGGGGGACAGAUAAGGC
rnacentral:lncRNA from 1 species